rnacentral:rRNA from 1 species
AGAUUGAACGCUGGCGGCAUGCUUUACACAUGCAAGUCGAACGGUAACAGGCCGCAAGGUGCUGACGAGUGGCGAACGGGUGAGUAAUGUAUCGGAACGUGCCCAGUCGUGGGGGAUAACGCAGCGAAAGCUGCGCUAAUACCGCAUACGAUCUAUGGAUGAAAGCGGGGGACCGUAAGGCCUCGCGCGAUUGGAGCGGCCGAUAUCAGAUUAGGGUAGUUGGUGGGGUAAAGCGUACACCAAGCCAACGAUCUGUAGCUGGUCUGAGAGGACGACCAGCCACACUGGGACUGGACGCACGGCCAGACUCCGUACGGGAGGCAGCGAGUCGGGGUAAUUUUGGAACAGUCGGGACGCGAAGCC